AUUGAACGCUGGCGGAAUGCUUUACACAUGCGAGUCGAACGGCAGCACGGGUGCUUGCACCUGGUGGCGAGUGGCGAACGGGUGAGUAAUAUAUCGGAACGUAUCCAAUAAGGGGGGAUAACUAGCCGAAAGGUUAGCUAAUACCGCAUACGCCCUGAGGGGGAAAGCUGGGGAUCGUAAGACCUAGCGUUGAUGGAGCGGCCGAUAUCUGAUUAGCUAGUUGGUGGGGUAAGAGCCUACCAAGGCGACGAUCAGUAGCUGGUCUGAGAGGACGACCAGCCACACUGGAACUGAGACACGGUCCAGACUCCUACGGGAGGCAGCAGUGGGGAAUUUUGGACAAUGGGGGCAACCCUGAUCCAGCCAUUCCGCGUGAGUGAAGAAGGCCUUCGGGUUGUAAAGCUCUUUCGCAAGGGAAGAAAACUCGAUCUCUAAUAUAGGUUGAGGCUGACGGUACCUUGAUAAGAAGCACCGGCUAACUACGUGCCAGCCGCCGCAGUAA
rnacentral:rRNA from 1 species